rnacentral:rRNA from 1 species
AGAGUUUGAUCCUGGCUCAGGAUGAACGCUGGCGGUAUGCCUAGCACAUGCAAGUCGAACGAUGUCUUCGGACAUAGUGGCGGACGGGUGAGUAACGCGUGAGAAUCUGCCUCUAGGAUGGGGAUAACGGUUGGAAACGACCGCUAACACCCAAUAUGCCGUAAGGUGAAAAAUUUAUUGCCUGGAGAGGAGCUCGCGUCUGAUUAGCUAGUUGGUGGGGUAAGAGCUCACCAAGGCUUCGAUCAGUAGCUGGUCUGAGAGGAUGAGCAGCCACACUGGGACUGAGACACGGCCCAGACUCCUACGGGAGGCAGCAGUGGGGAAUUUUCCGCAAUGGGCGAAAGCCUGACGGAGCAAUACCGCGUGAGGGAGGAAUGCCUUUGGGUUGUAAACCUCUUUUCCCAGGGAAGAAGAUCUGACGGUACCUGAGGAAUAAGUAUCGGCUAACUCCGUGCCAGCAGCCGCGGUAAUACGGAGGAUGCAAGCGUUAUCCGGAAUCAUUGGGCGUAAAGCGUCCGCAGGUGGUUUCCAAAGUCUGCUGUUAAAGACUGGAGCUCAACUCCGGAACGGCGGUGGAAACUUGGAAACUAGAGUUCGGUAGGGGUAGCAGGAAUUCCCAGUGUAGCGGUGAAAUGCGUAGAUAUUGGGAAGAACAUCGGUGGCGAAGGCGUGCUACUGGACCGUAACUGACACUCAGGGACGAAAGCUAGGGGAGCGAAAGGGAUUAGAUACCCCUGUAGUCCUAGCUGUAAACGAUGGAAACUAGGUGUGGCUUGUAUCGACCCGAGCCGUGCCGUA